CGGGGAUUUGUGGGAGAGGCUGAAAAAAAAGACAUGAAGAAGGUAGUUAGAAGCUGAAACAAUGCAAAGCAAUUUAAGGCACAGGUUCUACCUGUGGAACUGGGAAUGACACUUACUGGAAAAUAUUGACAGGAAGAACCGAGAAAGGAGGAAAUUACACAAAUAACAGAGAUUAACGAACAAUUACGGAAGCCUGUAGAAAGACAGCUAAGGAGGUACAAGAGAAGACUGUUGAAAACCAAAGACAUAAUAACAAAACCACCACAACAAUAACAACAACAAACAAAACAAAAACGAAAACAAAAUCCAAAACCCUUCCUGUGUUUCAGAGGGCCCAAAUUGGAAUUGAGUGCAGCCCCAAAGUCCUUUUAAAUAAA